rfam:Aedes albopictus isolate Foshan contig133270, whole genome shotgun sequence.
UGCCCCGCAACUCCUAUCCCUGCCUCCUCGCGGUACCGGCCGGAAACUAUGAGCAACCUUAGGGAAGAUCGGGUAACCAACCCCGGUGGGAACUUUGGUCGUAGCCUGACAGGGAAGG